AAUCAAAUUAUACUUGGUUUAUUUGCUAAUUAUAUGAACCAAUUCGGAUAAUUCAUGUUCAACAAAAUAACAAUAAACAGUCAAAUCACUAAAAAGGUAACUGUGCAUUUUGCUCUGUGCAUCAAUCGAGAUAAACCAAACACAACCCUGAUGUCGACAAACGACAAGAAAGUUGCCAAAUCAAAGAAGAGAGUCGAACCAAAACCAAAAAGAGACAAAUUGCGCAUUUCCGCUUAGUGUGCUCGUGUCGUAAAGAAGUGUGUCGGUAGUGCAGCAGUGAAAAUUUAACUUGCCAGGCUGUUAGGACAAACGGCCGGGAAAAUCGUGGCAAAUCUAUCCCUUGCUGGGAAGACAAAUCAGCACUGCGAACACGAUAGUGGCACGACACGCGGAAGCAAAACUACCGCUGGAACACGACAGAAGCACAAAUCACGGAAAACGCACGAAGAGAUCCGUUAAUUGCUCGGAAUACUGCUCACACAGUAAAACGGAAGAAUCCGCCCGUUUGGGAAGAAGAAAAAAGGAAGCGCCAAAGAAGCCC